CAAAAUUAUUUUAAGUUAUUUGUUAGCUAUAACAUAUUUGUGACGGACGCUGACAGCGUUGUACUGAACAAUCCCUUUGCUUAUGUGGAUUUGCACAGCCGUCGGUGCGACUUCCACUGGCAAGUUGAUGGAAAGGACGCAUUCACUUCUGGUUAAACGAGCAGCGGCUUCCAAGGCAAAUCUUACGUUUAUCAUAACACAGAAGAACUUGCGUGGCGGCCAUAUUUUAACGCCGGUGUCUAUUUUGCUUCAAGUAACGAGCGCACAAAAAAUUUUUUUCAAAUUUGGUUAAAAGCUUAUCAGUGCCUUAAAGGAAGAAGAGAGCAGCACGCGCUAAUUAUAGCCAUGCAUAACUUUUAUAGAGGAAAAUGGAUUCUUGUUGGCAAAGAGGAUAAAUCCGAAGGCAUACCGGAGCAUCUUACAAAAUUUUGUUACUUGGAACAAAAAAACUUUCCGGACGGCGGCUACUUUUUAUACAAAAAAAAAUACGAGGAAGCUUUUGGGAACGUUAGCCGAGACGAACUCGCGAUUCUUCAUGCCAACAACAUGAAUCAAAACAACCAUAUGAAACUGUAUUAUUUACAGAAGGAGAAAGCUUGGUAUGUGACAAAAGAUCUACA